rnacentral:lncRNA from 1 species
AUAACCCUUCUGAUGCCGAGCGCACCUUCCUGAGCCUGAGCCUGAGAGCACUGCCUUCACCUUGUUCUCACGCUGAGGUAUGAGCCUCAGGGCUGCACUCUGAAGGUCAGCCCUACCUUGGAGGUGCUGAUGGCUUUCUCGUGUACUGUAAGCUGUUUCCAGAGGUUGCAGCCCUUCAGCUCUGUUGUGAAGGCUGCUCUCUCAUCCAUGAGCACACUUCAGAAUGGCCACCAUGAGCUUCUCUUUGUGAGUCUCAUGAGCUUUUGCUAUGAUGUGCGUGCUAAGUCACUUCCGUCAUGUCCGACUCUUUGUGAUCCCAUGGAUGGUAGCCUGCCAGGCUCCUCUCUCCAUAGGAUUCUCCAGGCAAGAAUACUGGAGUGGGUUGCUGUGCCCAACUCCAGGGAGUAUCACAUAUCCGGAGGCCAAGAGGCUCAGCAGAAAAGAGAAAGGAGAACAUAAUACGUAAACAGUGCAUUCUUCCAAAGUCAAGUCCAAAUGACGCCAUGGCUUUGAAGAAAGUUUCACAAUAGUUCAAAAGAAGAGAAUGAUGGGAGAACAGAGUCAUCAAAGCGAACACAGUGGUAGAGGCAGUGCUCUGGAAAAUUACAUCCCAGUUGUAAGCAACAAUUUAUGUCCAGCAAAGCAGUAUUAGCCAUGAUAUUGAAAUAAUACUGUCAAUUAUUAAUGAAUAAAAGUAAUUGAAAUUUAAUAAUAACGCAUAUUGGUUAAAA